rnacentral:rRNA from 1 species
UACGUAGGGUCCGAGCGUUAAUCGGAAUUACUGGGCGUAAAGCGUGCGCAGGUGGUUUUGUAAGCCAGAUGUGAAAUCCCCGGGCUUAACCUGGGAACUGCAUUUGGUACUGCAAGGCUCGAGUACGGCAGAGGGAGGUGGAAUUCCACGUGUAGCAGUGAAAUGCGUAGAGAUGUGGAGGAACACCGAUGGCGAAGGCAGCCUCCUGGGCUAGUACUGACGCUCAUGCACGAAAGCGUGGGGAGCAAACAGG